rnacentral:lncRNA from 1 species
CACAAACGCUAAAUGAAGAGCCCCCGGCCUUCCAAGCAGCCUUUGCUUUGUGCUCCCAGGCCCAAAACUAACAUUUUCCUAAUAAUUUUCCAGUAUCAAAGUGAUAGUUUUGAUUCAAGACAGCUGAAGCCUGCGCGCUCUGCGGCGGCCUCUCCCGCCCUCCAGCCAAACAUGUGCCUCUGUCUCUAUUUUAACACCUUUGAUAAUCAUCGAAAAAUGCGCGGCCCCAGCACUUUUCGCAGCCUGCCGCCCGGGGAAGGAGGCGCACACCGGAGUCUGUUUCCCUCCGGCCUCAGCCUGAGCCCUGGGCUCCCUCCCCACCCUGGGCUCUGCCACCGCCCCCUCUGCAUUCCAUUAGCGAUGUCUGAGGAAGGAUUUGGCCUUUCCAGGGCUAUUAAGCAAGGGGGGAGCCCAAGAAACACAGUAACCCAAUAUCAUAGAAAGCUGAUAGAAUCUUCUCCAAACUAUAAAGAUGGCUCACCCCGAGGAACAUCUGCACAGCAAAAGCGAUGGGUUUUAAACAGAGCGGAGAGGGGUCGGGUGCCUUGUAAAGACUGCGGUGGUGAGGAGGCCGGGGCCUGCUGUCACUCUGCAGGGGCCAGGCCAUCCUCCGCGGAGCCAGCUCCCUCACCGAGAGCUCCCGCCAUCUGGAAUUCAUUGCAGGAUGGAACACUGGCGUUCGUAAAAAGAAACUCGGCCCUACAAUAAUUAUUCCCUAAAUCAUUAAUACAGCCCGAACCCCAGAUGCAGAGUCGGAGGACAGCCCGGGCGGGCCGGGGCCCGGGGCUGGCGUCCUGGCCCACCCCACGGCUCUCUCCCUUGGAAGCGCCGGCCACCUCUUCUCUGGAAACAAGCUCGGGUCAAGUUCUAGGCCCUUCCCCGAGCCAGCCUCUGGCUGCCCCAGGGAAGACGCUGCUGCACAAACGGUUCUCGGCAAAGAUCUUUCUGGUGCUCGGCGCCUUCUGGGUGCAGAGGUUCCAGAAAGGCUGAAGGCAACGCAGCAGUGUCCCUGUGUGAGACCUGACCCCCAGGCACCCCCAUUCCCACGGCCCC